GAAGGUGGAGGUUGCAGUGAGCCGAGAUCACUGUCACUGCACUCCAGCCUGGCAACAGAGAGAGACUCCGUCAAAAAAAAAAAAAAAAAAAAAAAAAGGAGUGAUGGAGUGUUGUUAUUAAGAAAGUUAGGCUUCAGGAUAUUGAUUAACUUGUGUAAGGACAAAUAGCUAAUAAGUAACAGAGCUAAGAUGUAAAUCUAGAGACCAUCUGACAAAAAGAAAAAUUCCAUAAACAUUUUGCCACUAUUGCUCCCACAGGAAAAGUGACAUGGCUUAACAUGACAGCUACUGGUCAAAUUUCAUCAUAUUUCUUGCUGUAUUUCCAAACACAGAAUACUUGUUGGAGAAGUACAUGGACAGAUUGAAAUUUUUCAGAAGAAAUUAAGAGCUGCAGUAGGCUGAAGCAAUUAGGACUUCAUGGAUCAAGCAGAA
rnacentral:lncRNA from 1 species